rnacentral:lncRNA from 1 species
UUUUUUUCCCGACUGGAAUGCUUGCCUCUGAAUGAGACAUGAUGCUAGGGUUUGCCUCUGAUGAAGAACCGGACCCUUUAUAAGCCUUCCUAUUGGAAAACCCUGGAGUGUCACAGGCAUACCCAGAUGCGACAGAAGCCCUAUCAAGAUCUCAAGCGUUGUGAGAAUUGACCGAGUAGAAGAGACUGGAAACACACCAUUGUACCUGAGACCUAGAGAAGAUGUUGAAUGUAAGACACGUGCUUAGACAAGCAGCCACAGAAAAGGAGGAAAGAAAAAGGAAGGAAAGAAAAAUAACACUCUCAAAGAAUCACUUAAUAAUAAAGGAAAUAUCAGCGCUUGCUCUCUUCCUAACAGUUUGUCCACUUCAGAUGGAUGGAAAUCCAAUGAAGAGGUUCCAUUCAGACCAGUAAAGAAAGAGCAUCUUAGGCAACUUUUUUAGUCCAAGCUUUAGAUCCUUCUCAAUCCUCAAUGUUAGAAUUGACUGUGGCUGCAGAUACAGAGAGCCCAGCAUUAAAAGAACUUACAGGAACC